rnacentral:rRNA from 1 species
CUCCCAAUCAUCUGUCCCACUUAGGCGGCUGGCUCCUUACGGUUACCCCACCGACUUCGGGUGUUACAAACUCUCGUGGUGUGACCGGCGGUGUGUACAAAGCCCGGGAACGUAUUCACCGCGGCAUGCUGAUCCGCGAUUACUANCGAUUCCGGCUUCAUGUANGCGANUUGCAGCCUACAAUCCGAACUGAGAAUGGUUUUAUGGGAUUGGCUUCACCUCGCGGCUUCGCUGCCCUUUGUACCAUCCAUUGUANCACGUGUGUANCCCAGGUCAUAAGGGGCAUGAUGAUUUGACGUCAUCCCCACCUUCCUCCGGUUUGUCACCGGCAGUCACCUUAAAANUGCCCAACUAAAUGCUGGCAACUAANAUCAAAGGUUGCGCUCGUUGCGGGACUUAACCCAACAUCUCACGACACNANCUGACAACAACCAUGCACCACCUGUCACUCUGUCCCCCCAAAGGGAACGUCCUAUCUCUA